GGCCGGGCCAGGGCGCACGCGCGCCGCCGCCGCCGCCGGGCGCGUUCUGAGUCUGGGCGGGGCCGGUGGUCGCGCAGGCGCGCGCCUACCCGGUGGGGAGUGACGCGGAGGCUCCCCUGGGAUCCCGGUCACCAAAACUCCCGCAGGCCUUUCCCCGGGGAGACUGGGGGCCUGUUACCAGCAGUCGCCGCCCAGCCUUGACUGCCUGGGUGAAUCAGGUGCUAAUCAGAGCCUUGGGCUUGGCAGCUCCCCUGUCUGGGUUUUCUGAGUGCGCCCGAUUUAGGCUGGGUGGGGGGAUUCCUACGGCCCUGCCCCACCCACGAAGACCGAGAAGGCUCACCCGGUGGCGAAAGGUGGGCUCGGUGACUCAUCUCUGAGAUGACCUCACCUCCCGACCCCAGCGGAGCAGAUGUCCGGAUUUGAGACCUCAUACCGUGACUUUGGACGGCUAGUGCGUUCCCUUCUUCAGAUUAUAAACUGGCUCGAGUAGGUGCAUGGGUGUGUUGAUUCAAGUGCUUCUGGAAAGCCCCUUCCCUUGCUAAGCACCACGGUCAUGUCCACAUCGUGUUUCUGCCUGGAGUGGAAUACUCUCUAACACAACUGUGUAAGUAUUCUGCACGCCUGCUAAACUCCUGACUUCUUCCUUGCAGACAGAACCCUCGAACCAGGGGUUUCAUCUUUCCUUUUUAUAUCCUCAGCAAUGCCCUGCACCUAGUGGAUGCUUGAUAAUUGUUAAAUGGACAGAUGCAUUCCUCUGGUAUGGCUGAGCUCACCCCAGUGACCUCAUUUCAUCUGCUCCUCCUCCCUCCCAGAGUCACAGCCACAGGGACUCUCUGUGUUUCCUUGAACCUGCCACCCUUGGUCUCAUGACCACUUGACCUUGUCCUUGAGCCUUCGCAUGGGCUGUGCUCUCUAACCAGCUGUCUCACCUGUCACUGGCUCUUCUCUUCGAGGGCUCAGCUCAAAUGCUGCCUCCUUAAAGAGGUUUUCCUAACCACCCAGUCCAAAGGAGAUCCUCCAGUCCCUCUCAUAUUACUCUGUGCAGUUUUCUUCAUAGCACUUAACAUGAUCAGACAUUCUCAUAUUUAUUUGCUCAUUUUCCUAUAUCUCACUAGAAGACCCUCCAGAGGAAAAGGGCCUGUCUUUUAAGGAUCUGUUUUAUUCAUAUGGCCAGGAACAGUGCCUGGCACAAAACAGGUGCUCAGUAAAUGCUUGUUGAAUAAGGUAACACGUUCCAGAGGGCAGUUGUGUCAUUCUGAGGAGUGCUGACACUUUGAAAAGAGCCUGCAGACCCCAUCGUAGUCAUCUCCCUCCUUGUCGAUGUCUUCUGGGCCACAGCAGGCGCUGUGCAGGAAGCGCCCCCUCCGUGUGCUGCGACCGUGGCCCCCGUGGGCAGGAUGGCAUCCAGACCAGACAGCACCCUCCCUGCCCUUUGCUUCUGGAGUGCUCCUUCCCUCCUGCCCUGACACCCUCUUUUCCCUCUGACCUCCCAAUCACCUGGGCAGCUCCUCCUCUACUCUGCACCGUUCUUGUGUAGACAGCACAGCAUGGUUACUGGACUGCCUGGGGAAUCCCAAGACCAACCUCUGAUCCUAAAUCUCAGAGUGCUGUUGGGCAAGAUGAUCAACUUUUCUGAACUGUUAUUUUUUUUUUUCCCCUCCUGAAAAUUUACAAAGCUCCUACCCCGAAAUCAGCGAGUGACGCUUAUUCUCCUCCUCUGCUGUGCUGCUGCUGCUUCUCGCAGUCAGAUGAGCGUGUGAGAUCACAAUUCCUAAGUCGGUGUUGUGCCCAUAAAUGACAGGGCCACACCCACGUUUUCUUCUGCCGUUCACUUGGAACAGUUUCUUUCUCUUAUUUCUCAUAAAUUUAUUUUUCUAGCUCAGAUCAGCUGCUUAACAGUCUCUCUUAAGCUCGGAACCAGCUCUGGCUGCCUCCUAACCGUCAGAAGUGGCACUCUGGCCUACAUUCAGUAUGGCCUACAAGACUCAUAUGCCCAGAGCACAUUUCAAAUUCUGAUUUUUGGUUAAGUAAGAAAAGGUGAAAGCAUUAGCAUCAGAAGUCAGAAGAGUCACAGUGUGUGUGUGUGUGAGUGAGUGUGUGUGUGAGUGUGUGUGAGUAUGAGUGUGUGUGAGUGAGUGUGAGUGUGAGUGUAUGUGAGUGUGUGUGUGUGAGUAUGUGUGUAACUUUGAGUGUAUGUGUGUGUGAGUGUGUUAGUGUGUGCGUGUGUGUAUGUGUGUGCAUAUAUGUGAGUGUGCAUGUGUGUGUGUUGUAUGUGAGUGUGUAUGAGUGUGAGUGAGUGUGUGUAUGUGUGUGUGAGUGUGUGAGUGUAUGAGUGUGUGUGUAAGUUUGAGUGUGUGUGUAUGUGUGAGUGUGUAUGUGUGUGUGUGAGUGUGUGUGUAUGAGUGUAUGUGAGUGUGUGAGUGUGUGUGAGUGUAUGAGUGUGUGUGAGUGUGUGUGUGAG
ensembl:lncRNA